UACGGGGGGGGCGAAGCGUUGUUCGGAAUUACUGGGCGUAAAGGGCUCGUAGGCGGCCAACUAAGUCAGACGUGAAAUCCCUCGGCUUAACCGGGGAACUGCGUCUGAUACUGGAUGGCUUGAGUUUGGGAGAGGGAUGCGGAAUUCCAGGUGUAGCGGUGAAAUGCGUAGAUAUCUGGAGGAACACCGGUGGCGAAGGCGGCAUCCUGGACCAACACUGACGCUGAGUGAGCGAAAGCCAGGGGAGCAAACGGG
rnacentral:rRNA from 1 species